rnacentral:rRNA from 1 species
AUGGCCAAAGGUCCUAAGGUAACACACCCCGAGUAUGUUGAUUUUGAUAGUGAUGAAGAUGACUUGUUAGGUGAUGAUUUGCUUGGUGACAACUCUAGUGAUGAAUACUAUGAUGAAAGACCAAUUAAUCAUGCUAAUCAAGAUAAAACGAAUGACAAUGAUAAGGAGAAGAUUGAGGCUCUAACUAAAGAACUAAAAACUCUUAAGUUAGCUCAUGACACUAUCUUCGAAGAUCAUCGAGAACUUUUAAGAGCUCAUGAGAAGCUACGCUUUGAAAAGCUCAAUCUUGAGCAAGAGCAUGAGUUCUUAAAGGCAAUAAAUGAUGAUCUCCGCAAGAAAAGUUCUUCUUACAUUGCCAAGCGUUUACUCUUAUCCACUUACAUGCCUCAAGUCAAGUCUAACAAGAAAGAUUCUUCCUCUAGUAGUAACAAUGAUCAUGCUAAAUCCAAUAUUGUUGCUUCUAGUAGUUCUCCUGAUUCCACUAAUGAUUCUCUUAGCCAAGUUACACUUGAGCAAGAAAAUAGCUUAUUGAAGGGAAUUAUAGAGAAAGGAGUGUACAAAAGCCUUGCCGGGAGUAAGCAAUUCGAGGAAAUUGUGCGCAAGCAAGGAAUGCACCGGAAGAAUCAAGGUGUUGGUUUUGUACGAAAGUUCAAUGCCAAUGGAGUUGAAUGGGAAGAAGAUCAAUACCCCAAGACAAAGUUUGUCCCUCAACAAGAGAAGUAUACUUCUUUCAAGGGGACACAAGCUCAAGAUGAUCUUCCACCACAAGACUACGAGCAAAAAGGCAAGGACAAGCUUCAAGAGGAAAUUGAUGCAUUUGAAGAAGCUCCUAAGACCUUAGUCAAGUGGAUUCCCAAGACUACCUCAAGUUCGACUUCAUCAAGUACGACUACAACUCCAAGGAUUCCCAUCAAGAUGAUGUGGAUCCAAAAGAAGAAGAACUAG